rnacentral:lncRNA from 1 species
UCCAGCCUUGGGCUCUGACAACCGCCUGGGCCACCGGACCAUGGCUUGGCAGCAAUGACCUUCCUACAGACAGCAGCAGCAGCAACCAUGAUGGGGCAGCAACAGCAGCAGAGAUCCCGCCAGCAGGCCAUCACAGACUUCUUCACCACCCCGGCUGGAGGUGCAGUGCAGCAAGAGGGACCUGCCCUAAAUGCCCCAGUGGAUGACGGGCCAACACAGGAAGCAGGGGUGGGAGGGGGCGAGGCAGUGGCAGCAGCAGCAACAGUGGGUGCUGCAGGAGCCUCACCACUGGCCCGCACACACGCCUGGGCAGUGGCAGACUUCUGGGUGUGUCUGCACUCAUUCACGAUGCUGGAGAACCCCAGACAUGGCUGGGACAGAGUUGGGCCACAGCACCCCAUCCUGCGGUCGUGGAGGAGUGGAUGUAGUGUGCAGCAGUGGUGGAAACCAUGGCCUAAAUAGCCAUACUGGAGUGGAGUCAGGGGCUCUUUUUGGAGGGGAGCAGGGAGAGUGAGGGAGAGGGGGUGAGAGAGCCAGAAGUAGGGAUAGGUGGGGAGUGAGGAGAGCAGGGAGGCCCUGGGCAUUUGGAGGGCUGGGCAAGAGAGCAGUGUCCUGGCCUAGGGUCACGUGGUCUAGCAGGGGAAGUUGUGGAGCCGGGCUGUGUGUGUUCAUGUGCUCAUGUGUGUGCCCGCUCCCUGGGAAUUGGGGCCUGUCAAAGAGAGGGGAUUGGGUUCUGUACUGUCUGGCAUCAGAGUAGAGACAGUGUAGGUGGCUUGUGGGAGUGGAGAGGAGGUGGGAAAGUGGUGGAGGACAGUGGUGUGGAGGUGGAGAGCAGGUGAUGCUGGUCCCAGCUGGCCAGGGUCAGGAGGGGAGGGAUCCCGGUGUGGUAAGCAGGAGCAGGCAGUGUCUGUGAGCCGUGCCUUCCUCGGGCUUUUUAGGGGGGUGCUGCACUGGCUUGUCAUCCUCCCCGCGGCAAUAGGUGUUUUUGCUUUGUCUUGCACUGGGCUGCGCCCGGAAGCCCACAACCCCCAGGAGGAGACUGCCAUAUGGACCGGUUGAGAGUGGACCUGUGAGGUAGUGGUGGCCAUCCUCGGUAGGUGUCCGUUGCUAGUGGUAGGUGAAUGGCUGGCCUUCAGGGACCAGUGUAUGAGUGCCCAUGUUGUGUUUGUCUUCUCGGUGCAACCGCGUCUUGGUUUUGUGGUGUGGCAUCUCAGGCCCGUGGUCCUCCAUGUAUCUCUGGCCUUGCUGGCUGUGUGGGGUCCUUGACUAGGAGAGUCGGCUGAGGGGCCGUACCUGACAUGGGUAGGUCUUCCCUUGCCUCGGGUUUUGAGUGUGUAGUGGAGCCCCCUGAGUAGAGCCCCGGCCCCCAGUGGUGUUUUCGCUUUGUUCUUGUUUUGGCGGUCAAGAGAGACGAGAGCGCACGAUUAGGCUGGCCUGGCAUAGUGAGGGCAGAUAGCUUGUUUAGGUCUCCCAGAGGUGGUGUGGCGCCUCUCGUGUGGCUCUCACUUAAUUCGGUUUGCAGUCUUCUGCACUGCUGUGUUGCCUAGCCAGGAGCCCCUGGCAAGGGGCUGGGAGAGCGUCCUGGUUGGCAUGAGUAAGGAUGCACACGGAGGAACAGACAGAUGUAGAGCCGCACGCCUGCCCCUGCGCUGUGUUUUGGCCCAGUCAGGGGCCUGGUGCUCAUCCUUUCCUCGGGGUGAACCGCCCACAGUGUAACACCCCCAACAACACUACAUGAGGCAGACAGACAGCACGCCUGCAAUGGGAUGGUGUAGCAAGUUCAUUAAUAAGGAGGCAUGGUCAGGUUUUUUUUCAUUUAGGAUGGGGAACUAAAGGGAAUGAUGACAACCCUUUGGCUUCUUCCCCUUUAGGGGACUUCUUAGGGUUGGAUUUAAUUUAUUCAUUAAUUGUGAGGCGCUGGGGGGCUACACCCCCUGCAGACCCCCCCCCCCCCGAUAUGUUACAACUCCCUCGUAGACCAUGAGUCAUGCACUGUGUUAGCGCAUUUUUUCGUUCCUGUGUCCACUCUUCGUGUGCAUGCGUAGAUAGUUCUGGCACUGUUUGUGAGCAGUAAAUAAAAUCGACCAAGCAAAGGCCCAAAGCAAGCAACCACACAGCAAAUCACAGGCCAUCACCUGCCGCUGCAAACCACAGCACACUAGGACUCUACUAGUUCAUCAUGUACCAGCCCCUGCUGCUGCCGUCCAGCCCCUUCCUCAGUGUGUCACGGAAGGGGAACGUGCCCAGGUCGAACAGGUUGUGAACCGCCAUGCAUCCUCCACCAACCCGGCACCAUCACUAACACCAGCAAAGCCGAAAACUCCGUCAAGCCACCGGUGAGGGCCGCACAGUAGCUGAUGGCCUGCCACACCCUUGCUGUGGGUGUGUCAUCGAGCAGCGCCCGGUGCCCACAUCCAAGCGCGUCUGGGUCCACUACUUUUGGCUGGAGGAAUGAAAAUGUGCGGGUCGGCCUCAAUUUAUUCCUUUUUUCCAAAUGCCAAAAUGCCUGUUUAUUCCUUUUAAGUAAAUUAUUACUUCAAAAAAACCCUGGGCAUGGCAGGUCAGUGCAGCACCUAAGCAUGACCUGGUUGACAGGCUCGCUCUGCUCGCUAGAUGGUAAUCGGCAAAGAAGUGGUCAUAGAUUUUGGCGUGCGGGUGUAUGGGGGCUGCACUCAAAACAAAAGCAAACCAACACUUACUAGAUGACGAACCCAAAAUGAUUAGCAUGGCGCUUUCCUUCAGAGACCUGUCACGUGCAUUACCGUUAUUAUUAUAUUAUUAUUGUUACACUGGUGUCCGCUCAACCUGGCGUGUGUUAAGGGGGGAACGCUCUGAGGUCUGCACCUAGUCAGUCCUAUAUGCUAUAUUCCCACCGCGCAUUACCGUUAUGCAUGAAGGGAAGGUAGCAACAACAAAGCCAUAAUUGAUUUAAGGGUCUGCAAUCUUAGCGGUAGCUAGGAUUUGGUCCUGGGGUCUGCAGAAGGUGCCUGGUCGCUGACACUGCCAAGUGACAUGAUGUACAGUGAUACACAGUUUUUCGACAUGUCUGUCAUAACACACAUGUAUCCGUAUCUUGCCAGCUGCGGUCGCUGUCUUAUCACUGAUGACACACUUACGAAUGAAUUUAUGAAAUUCGAACCUAUAAAUUGUUGAUGUUCUUCUUGUGGGGUUCUUGGGUUUUCCUUGGCUCCCUUCGCGUGUGUGUGUAUAUGUGUGUGUUACACUUGCGAUUACAGAGGUGCACAUCACACCGACAGACAUCAGACCGACAGCACAGCUUCCUCCGUACGGCAGCAACGCCCCACUGUUGACUGUUUGACCGAUUCAGUUCUCAGUUAAACUCACGUUCACCCUGCCCCUCCUCCUCCUCGUCGUGCUUUGCAGGCUACCAGUGAUUUUUUUUCAUUUAGGGCGGGUCUCAAUUUAUUCCAACCGAAGUAACAAAGUUGCUAGGGUCGCCGUAAUUUAUUCCAUAAGUGUGGGGCGCUGGGGGGGGCUACACCCCCCCCCAGACCCCCCCCAUAAGUUACAACUCCCCUCAUAGACCAAGAGGCACACACUGAGUUGGCGUGUUUUCGUUCAUGUGCGCACUCUUCAUGCACAUGCAUAGAUAGUUCUGGCACUGUUUGUGAGCAAUAAGUAAAUCCGACCAAGCAAAGGCCCAAAGCAAGCAACACCAUUGCCAAUGCAUUACCGACAACAGCACUGCCGUCCCAAACGCCUUUAUCAGGAAAAUUUUCAGGCUUAUCUUGCUGUUUUGGUGUUUCUUCGACGUUCGAGUCGUGUUGCCUUUUGCGUGUUUGGCUAUGUGAGGACCGGUCAUACAUUCUGCUAUGCCGCGUUGACUCACGGGCUCGACCUUCUUACGGCCCCUCAUAUCUAUUCUAUGAUUGAUAAUACUAAGUUCUGCACACUACGGAGCAAUCUGGCAGCAAUGGACGUUUUUGGCUGGAGGAAUGAAAAUGUACGGAUCGGCCUCAAUUCAUUCCGUUUUUCCAAAGGCCAAAAUGGCCUCUUUAUUCCUUUUAAGGAAUAUAUUACUUAAAAAAACACUGCAGGCUACUCGCUCUUCCUGGGCGGUUUCGUCUAUCCGGUUGUCGUACGCUGGGUAUGGUGCCGUACCGGCUGGCUAGGGUGGUACGGCACCGACGCGUUCCUUUUGGGAGCGGGCAUGAUUGACUUUGCGGGCAGCGGUGUCGUACACAUGACGGGGGGCCUGGCAGGUGAGUAGAACCCGGGGUUAGUUGGUGUCAGUUAAGUCGGUUGGACGGGGGAAGCCUCUGCCGAAUUACAUCUUGUAGUGAAUGGACUGGUGCCAGUGCUGACUUAGUUAGUUACCCUCCUAACUACUUAGGGUUUUAGGGUUUUACAUGCUCAGUGCAACAAAAGUCCCACCUCAUAACCGAGAGGCACGAGAGGCGCGAGAGAAAGAGUCCAAUACAUGUCCUUUUUUAAUAUCUUUGUCAGUGCAUGGUUUCCAAAUGUUUCACGACAUCGUUAAUUUUAUGCUUAACUGCUUUUGAUUGCCCAUUAUGUCGUCUAAGUUGUGACGCGAUCAGAGGGUUGCAAAAGGGGUCUAAUCCCCCAAUCCUGGGGGUGGGUAGUGGUCAGCCAUCCUCCCAUCCUGGCAGGGGUGAUCGACUCCCAUCCCCCAUCUUAAGGGCCGGUGCUAAUCCCAUCCCUCAAGACAGGUUUCCCAUCCUGCCAGCCAGGGUCCCUUCCCCAUCCCUUGAGCUGGUGCUGUAAUACAAAGGUGCUGUAAUAUCGGCUUUCUCUUUAGGUGUAAAUCAGGGGAAUGACCAGGGUUAUUUUCUAUUUCCGCGAGGUAUUUUUCUCUUGCUCUAUGGCUUAUUUCCUCUAACGUCGAUUUCCGAAGCAGACUGAAGCGACAAACGCUCUUUGAAGCGGAUCUUUGGCGCAUAGUGGGAACAAGGAAUUGCCGUGUUUUUUGCGUUGCCGUACAUGAUCACGUUGUGAAUCCAGAGCCCCAAGCCUGCAGAACUUUGAAGCACUAAAACUGAGUUGCAGUGCUUGAGGUUGGAAAGGGCGUCCCCAAGGUCUUCGCAAGUGGUUUUGGGCCGCUGCUCUGUUACCCAUCGUACAGAAGUCCGAGACGUUAGAUGAGUAAGGGAUGGAACUCACAAGCGCUGUCGCGGUGGUGAAAAUCCACCCUAAGCUGCCCGCCAUGAUCCACCAGUUGCUGAGUACCUCUCCAAAGAGAUGUCUCCGGAGCUCAGGGUCAAUGCUCGCCUGCACGGCAGGAUGGAAAGCCUGGUCCACAGGCUGUAGUACAUGCAGGCUGGUGGGGCCAAAGAUAUCAUAGGUUAUCAUGCUGUAAGCUGCAAGGCUAGUUAUCAGGAUUGAUGGAUGGCCAACAGCGCUGGCGAACCCGGUCGAGGGCAGAUGAGUCGGUUCUUGGGGCCGGGGUGCAGGGGCAGCGCUUGGGGGCUCAUUUGUUAAGGUGAUUGUCGAAGUACUUGUUGUUGAUAAAGAACUAUCGGCAGGUCCAGAUGCCUGGACUUUCACGUUGUUGAGCUUUGGAAGACGCAAGGAAAAUGCCCCGUUUGGACUAAUAACUGCAUAGCUUGUGCAUUGCGGCAUCAAUUUUAAGCACUUCAUUUCCAAGUAUAUUACAUCAAUUUUGCUGAGUCGAUUGUUUCCGAAUUGCAAAAGAUGGCCGGGGUAUGCAACGGUCAACCACCUCAGAAGCUGGCGCUGGUAGCUGAACGACACAGCGGAACCUAAUCCACGGAACUUGCAGCGAGCGACUUCCUUAUUUUACCCUUGGAUGGACGUCUGGAUGAACUCGCCUGUCAUGAAUUUGCUAAAUUGGUGCACAAGUAAUUGCAUAGCACGGAACUAGGGCCCUCCUCACAGGACGCACUAAAACCUGAAGAGGCUCAUUUAGAAGCUACCGUAACGCACCGAGGGGAGAAAGGGUUUUGGGGACCGAUGUCGCAGUUUACGGAUGCGGAGCUCCGACUUAACGGGUUGGGGACGCUGUCUGUUCUCCAUGAUCACCUUAUCUCCUACAUCACGUUUUUGCUAGACCUGGAAGAUGUCGUGCGGCUGUCCUGCUGCAGCAGAAUCCUUCGCGUGUUCGCUUGCGAAGAGCCGCUGUGGCUGAGCCUUUGCCUCAGGCAGGAGGAAGGCAUCGUGGAGUACAAGGUCAGAUGGUCGCAUAACGGGCACCUCGCGUUAUGCGUAAAAUUAGAUUUGCAAGAGCUGUCAAGGGCGCAACAGGGCGGGAUAGGACGCAACCACUUCCAAGCACGGAGCCAUGAGUCAAGAUCUUGGAUUGAACUUUCCGUUGUUCCUUUCCGGCAAUUCCUAAAAGUUAUGUAUUAAAACCUAGCUAAAGUUGCUUCCAGGCAGGGGCGUAGGCUGAUAGGCUGAGCUGAGCAGCAGCGCAGCUGUUGGGCACAAGCCUACGCGGAUACGCCCUCUCCUCAUCCAUCCCCGGAUCCAUCCGCCACCCCGCGUCCGUUUCCUAACUUUGCCCUCCCCAUUCGUUCUUCCCCACUCUCCAUCUCCCCCGGUCUACUGGAAAAGAUCACACUCCGUUUCAUUUUAACCACUGCACCUUUACAAAUCAACACGUUUUUCAAAAUCCCCACCCAGCAAUCCCCACACCUCCGUUUGCACAAUUUACCUCCUCCCCUUCAGCGAGUUUUGCUCCGGAACCAUCUGGCACCGGCUCUGGAACUGUCUUGGACGGCCAUCCUGAGUUUUGCUCGGAACCGCCUCUGAGGAAAAAAAGGUCCAUGGCUCCAAAACCAUUUUAUACCUCCGGAACUGGCUCCAUAUUUUGUGCUCUCACCCAAUUAUGUACAGGCCAAUUGGCGGCAAACGACUCUUGCUAGGUGCCGUGACAAACCCAUACCACCACCUUCUGUGGAGGCUGUGGCGCGACCGCUGCCACCCCUGGCGGGCUUCUCCUCCCUGUUUUUGUACAAACGAUGGUGGGUCGCUGACGAGAUGUCGUGAGGUGGUUGGCUUGAAUCCCCAGAGGUCCAGAGGUAUGUGUACGAACGUGCGUGUUUUUUCUCGUACACUCUGCCGUACACAGGUACCGCUGUCACGUGGAUCUCACGGGUUUCCUCCCCCCUCCCGGAGUGCCCACCGUGGAACGCGUGAAUGCCGGCGCCAUGUCGCCCGCGGACUUUGUCGAGCGGUACG